rfam:Dipodomys ordii contig_38568, whole genome shotgun sequence.
UGGCUCAGUGGUAGAGUGCUUGCCUCGCAUGCAUGAGGUCCUGGGUUCGAUUCCUCAG